rnacentral:rRNA from 1 species
UACGAAGGGUGCAAGCGUUAAUCGGAAUUACUGGGCGUAAAGGGUGCGUAGGCGGUUAUUUAAGUCUGUCGUGAAAUCCCCGGGCUCAACCUGGGAAUGGCAAUGGAUACUGGCUGGCUAGGGUGUGUCAGAGGAUGGUGGAAUUCCCGGUGUAGCGGUGAAAUGCGUAGAGAUCGGGAGGAACAUCAGUGGCGAAGGCGGCCAUCUGGGACAACACUGACGCUGAAGCACGAAAGCGUGGGGAGCAAACAGG